CCGGAAUAUAAAAGAAGAGAUGUACAGUUUUUUUAGCUCCGUUUCAUGGGUGUGCUGGCAGGAGGUGGAGCAGCCAUAUUGACCCAUGAGGUAGAAGAUGAGUGUUGAGGAUACAGAGAAACAAGAUAGCAGGAGCCUGGAUCCCUAAUGACUUCGCCGAGAAGAGGCACCAUGCCAGCUCAGACUUGGACAGAGCGAACCGUCCUCCUGGAGAAAACAUCGCCACCUCACCCCUGGGCCCUGGGGAAGCUGGGAGUGGCUUUGCCUCUGUUUGAAGAAGGAAGGUGCUACCCGAAGGGGCUGGCCUGCAGGACACCCUCAAAGGAGGACCCUGGAGGCACAAAACCUGGAUGCUUCUCCAGCGCUAGGCAGGGAGCCUGACGCUCAGGCAGCUGCUCUUCAAGGGCAUCCAGCGAAGCCCCUUCUUGUCCUCUGAUCCCACCCUCGGGGACAACUGUGCCUGUGCCCGGCACUGUGCCAGAGGCUUUGCACACAUUGUCUCUUUUCAAUCCUCACAGCAAUAAUGGGGGAGGCACUAUUCUGGCCCCCAUUUUACAGAUGAGAAUACUGAGUCUCGGAGAGAUGCGCGAACCUUCUUCUCAAGGGCAUUUGGCAAGCAUCAAGGCCAGAACUUGAACCCUCUCAGCCCAGCGCCACUGUCCUGCUGGGAGCCCCAAGCCCUUACUUCACUCGCCCUGUUCCUUCUGAGACUGCCCACGCUCUGGCUAGUGCUGCC
rnacentral:lncRNA from 1 species